CGUGUGAAUGCAAUUGCUCUCAUUAAGUUUAAACCCCACACCCUCUAAUUUUAAAGCUAUCCAUUUAUGCACGUAUUAGCAGCUAUUCUGUGCCAGAUGCUGUGCAUUCAGCUGGAGACACCUCAGAUUCCAUGCUCUUAUAGAGCUCCUGUUCUAGUGCAGAAAUGUAGGCGAUGGGCUAACAACAGCUAGUCUGCAGUACUUGAGAAUUACGUUUCUAGGUUGCAGAAAUCUUUCCAGGAGCUUCUAAAGAAGCUGAAGAAGGACUCAGGUUUGGGAACAAUGGAGAGAGAGCACUUGGAACAUUGCUAAACUGAGAAAAUGAAGGUAGGGGCCAAGAAUUCACUUUGCACAGUUGGAGACAGCAAGGAAGAGACCCUCCAGGAAAGCAGAAAAGAUGACUAGAAUCCAGGCAAAUAAGCCUUGAUUUAUCCCCAGCUUGCCAACCCAAACAGAUUUUAUUGUUAUGUGCUGCUUUUUGCUGGAGUCCACAUGAAAAGUAGAUAACUUGAGCUUUGCCAGGAUUGGUUUAAAGAAUCAGGUUGCAGGAGUCUGUAAUAUUGUUGAGGAAAUGGGGACACAGAAUGGUUAAGUGACAUGCUUAGGGUCCCACAAGUAGUGGAUGGAAGAGCUGGGAUAUAAAACCAAUGCCCAAACUUACUUAUCCUGAACUGUCGCUCCUUUGACUUGAAUAUUGAUCCCUGGAUUGGACACCUGGACACGGACUCCUCUUCAUCUACUUGUAACAUGGCCCUUCAUACUACCACCUAGUCCUACCUAAUGUUUCAUAGUGACUUUUUUUUCCUUUGCUCUCACAGUGUUGACAACUACAUGUGUCUUUUCCAUACAAAUUGGUUUUUGUCUGUGACUUGGCCUGCUA
rnacentral:lncRNA from 1 species